GACGAACCGUGCAAACGUUAUUCGGAUUCACUGGGCUUAAAGGGCGCGUAGGCGGGCCAUCCAGUCAGGGGUGAAAUCUUUCGGCUCAACCGGAAAAGUGCCUUUGAUACUGAUGGUCUCGAGGGAGGUAGGGGCAUGCGGAACUUCCGGUGGAGCGGUGAAAUGCGUAGAUAUCGGAAGGAACGCCGGUGGCGAAAGCGGCGUGCUGGACCUCUUCUGACGCUGAGGCGCGAAAGCCAGGGGAGCAAACGGG
rnacentral:rRNA from 1 species